CAAGUCUGGUGCCRGCAGCCGCGGUAAUUCCAGCUCCAAUAGCGUAUAUUAAAGUUGUUGCAGUUAAAAAGCUCGUAGUUGGAUUUCUGUUAAUAAUUUAUAUAAAAUAUUUUGAUGAAUAUUUAUAUAAUAUUAACAUAAUUCAUAUUACUAUAUAUUUUAGUAUAUGRAAUUUUACUUUGAGAAAAUUAGAGUGCUUAAAGCAGGCAUAUGCCUUGAAUACUCCAGCAUGGAAUAAUAUUAAAGAUUUUUAUCUUUCUUAUUGGUUCUAAGAUAAGAAUAAUGAUUAAUAGGGACAGUUGGGGGCAUUUGUAUUUAACAGUCAGAGGUGAAAUUCUUAGAUUUGUUAAAGACAAACUAAUGCGAAAGCAUUUGCCAAGGAUGUUUUCAUUAAUCAAGAACGAAAGUUAGGGGAUCGAAGACGAUCAGAUACCGUCGUAGUCUUAACCAUAAACUAUGCCAACUAGAGAUUGGAGGUUGUUCCUUACUC
rnacentral:rRNA from 1 species